UGGUUAAACAAGGGAUAGAAGAGCGUUAAGAGAACGGUCUGGAAAGGCCGGCCAAAGAGGGUGACAGCCCCGUAUUUGAAAAUGCAAUUCUCCUCUCAGUGGCUCCUGAGUAUCGCGGGACACGUGGAACCCAGCGAGAAACUACCGGGACCAUCCGGUAAGGCUAAAUACUCUCUUGCGACCGAUAGUGAACUAGUACCGUGAGGGAAAGGUGAAAAGAACCCCUGCGAGGGGAGUGAAAUAGUACCUGAAACCGCAUGCCUACAAGCAGUGGGAGGACUAUGCCAUGCAAAUGGAAUGUCUGACCACGUGCCUAUUGAAUAAUGAGCUGGCUAGUUAGUCUCAGUGGCAAGGUUAAGCGAAAGCGAGCCGAAGCGAAAGCGAGUCUGAAUAGGGCGAUUGAGUCGCUGGGAUUAGACGCGAAGCGGGAUGAUCUAUCCUUGGCCAGGAUGAAGGCCGUGUAACAGCGGCUGGAGGUCCGAACCAGUGUUGGUUGAAAACAGCUUGGAUGAGCUGAGGAUAGGGGUGAAAGGCUAAUCAAAUUCCGUGAUAGCUCGUUCUCUCCGAAAUAGCUUUAGGGCUAGCCUCGUAUGAUCCGUCCCGGUGGUAGAGAACUGAAUGGACUAGGGGCCUUUCCAGGUUACCGAAUCCAACCAAACUUCGAAUGCCGGGAACGUGUAAUACGGGAGUCAGACUGCGAGGGCUAAGCUUCGUGGUCGAAAGGGGAAGAGCCCAGACCGUCAACUAAGGCCCCCAAAUCUAUGCUAAGUGGUAAAGGAAGUCGGGAGGCUCAGACAGCCAGGAGGUUGGCUUAGAAGCAGCCAUCCUUUAAAGAAAGCGUAAUAGCUCACUGGUCGAGCACCCCGGUACCGACAAUCCAACGGGGCUUAAGCAUAGUGCCGAAGUUACGGAUGCAUCAUCUUAGGAUGAUGCGUGGUAGGAGAGCAUUCCCACAGCAGUGAAGGUCGACCGUGAGGACGGCUGGAGCGGUGGGAAGAGACUCUGCCAGCAUAAGUAGCGAUAAACCAGGUGAGAACCCUGGUCGCCGUAAGUCUAAGGUUUCCUGAGAAAGGUUAAUCCGCUCAGGGUUAGUCAGUGCCUAAGGCGAGGCCGAUAGGCGUAGCCGAUGGACACACGGUUAAUAUUCCGUGACCACCAAAACUCGAUCAAGACCGAUGGGGGGACGCAGACCGUAAGCCUGGGGGCGAAAUGGUUACAAACCCAGGUGAAGGGAGAUCCGGAAAGGCAAAUCCGCCGGAUCGUCUGCCAGGAAAAUCCUCUAAGGAGAGUUAGGUGACUGUACCACAAACGGACACACGUGGACGAGAUGAGUAUUCUCAGGCGCUCGGGUGAUGAGUUGUUAAGGAACUAGGCAAAUUAACCCCGUAACUUCGGGAGAAGGGGUGCCCAUGCAAAUGGGCCGCAGUGAAUAGCGUCAGGCGACUGUUUAACAAAAACACAGGUCUCUGCUAAGUCGAAAACGAUGUAUAGGGGCUGACGCCUGCCCGGUGCCGGAAGGUUAAAGGGAGUGGUUAGCGCAAGCGAAGCUACGAACUGAAGCCCCGGUGAACGGCGGCCGUAACUAUAACGGUCCUAAGGUAGCGAAAUUCCUUGUCGGGUAAGUUCCGACCUGCACGAAUGGCGUAACGAUCUG
rnacentral:rRNA from 1 species